rnacentral:misc_RNA from 1 species
ACUAUUUUUUAAUGAAAAAUAUGGCGAUUCUAUGAUAUCUUGAAUUCUUGAUUUUUGAUUUUAACUGAUUUUGAUGGUGAAAAUAAUCACAAUUCUAGGAAUAACAUUAUUAUAUUGAACUGUUUAUACCUAAGGAUAUUUUUUGGCGUAAUCUACAGCAGGCUAUGUCUUGGCGCGGAAGGGAGGAUCGUGGGAAUCGCUGGGCUGAGAACCGCCCGCGAUCGCCUGUGUGGGAGAUGAGGCGCAGUUCCAGUCCAGACAGAGGCCGCCAAACGUCUCCUCGAGACCGACACAGGGAGCGCCGCGACCGCGUCGACCGUUAUGACCGUGACCGCGACCGUCGUGAUCGCGACCGUGAGCGCGAUGACCGUUACCGCCGUGAUCGCUACGACAAACGUGAUCGCGACCAACGUGACAGGCGUCGAUCGCCGCGCCGCCCAGAAGAUAAAGAGGUCCCGACCGCUCCGUCCCCUCCUAAAAUAAGUAACGAAAGGCAAAAGAUUGAUUCCCAGUCUAGAAGUAGGUCCCGUAGUCAUGACCGACAAGAGAAUGUGGAAACCUAUGAGAAUAAACACGAAGAUUCCCAAUCGAAUGCUUCCCCAGGCGACUGGAUAUGUCAAUGUGGUUCGUACAAUUUCAAACGGCGCCAAGUAUGUUACAGAAGAAAUUGCCAAGGUAAGAGAGCAGAUGGUGUGGUAUAUGGUGGUGAUGAUAGGAACGGCUCAGAAUCUAGCCCUGGUAUUACCAAGAGGCUAUUAUUUAGAAGGUUAGAUGCUUUAACUACUGAGGAGAAAAUACUGGAAGCAAUUAAGGAUAGGUGUACCAAGUCAGUACUUGAUUCAAUAGCUGGUAUAACAAUAGGUAGGGAGACAUUAACUGGAGCAUCAAAAUGUCUAGCUUAUAUCAACUUCAACUCAAUAGCAGAUUCAACAGCUGCACAUUCUGAGUUAUUAGCUUUAGAUCCUCCGCUUAAGAUAGAUGGACGAGAAGUAUUAAUUUCAUUUUACAAUGAGGUGCAAAAGGUUCAAAAGAAUAAUAUGUCUAAUAACUCUGAUUAUUCUGCAUAUUAUGCUCAAAUGUCAUAUAACACCAGUCAAGCGCUUUCCGAAGCCGAUAGGGUAAAUGCUGCAGCUGCAGUAGCACAGUCUGCUAUAACUGCAGCGCAGGCAAGGCAGCUGUCAUGGACACCCGUGUCUGUACCAGUCUUUGUUACAUCUUCCGCUCAAAAUACUGCUGUGACAAAUAUACCCACUGGUGAUGGUAAAACAGUGUAUAGCCCACCUGAUGUGAGAACAUUUAUGUAUGAUGAGACAUCAGGCUAUUACUACGAUCCUGCAACAGGUUUAUAUUAUGAUGGAAAUACACAGUACUUCUACAACAGUCAAACCAGCCAGUACAUGUACUGGGAUGCCACAAAUUCCACCUAUAUUGCAGCUACUCAAAACCAACAGAAUACUAACCAGCCAAAACUGCAAAACCCACCAACUGCUACAGUAGAAAACACAAUUCCAAAAGAACCAGAUGAGAAAAAGAAAAGAGAUAAAGAGGAUAAGGUUAAGGUUGCCAAAAAGAUUGCGAAAGAUAUGGAAAGGUGGGCUCGGACAUUGAACCAAAAGAAGGAAAAUGCUCGAAGUAAUAUUGUUAUGGAACAGCCGCUAGACCAUGGAGCUAGCAAGGGCUCAGCGGAUAUAGGAUUUUCUGUGCUUGGAGCUGGUCCCUCAAUUACACCGCACAUGCGAGAAAUAUCACCACCACCGAAUACUGAAGAAUUUCUAAUUAAAAAGCCUGAAGCUGCCCAAGUAGAGUCUGAUGAUGGAAUCAUUGACUGGGCAAGGCUAACAUGCAUUAUUUGCAAACGGCGUUUCCCAUCGGCUGAGGUGUUAACAAAACACAAAACAUUGUCCGACUUGCACAAGCAAAACUUGGUGGAAUUUCAGAAAAAGAAUGAUUUGUUGCCACAAACAAAUGGUUAUAGGGAUAGGGCAGCGGAGAGACGAUUAAAGUUUGGUGAAGAUGAGCCCCCUCCAAUUCGUAAGAGAUAUGAGUCUGAUACACCAGCGCCUGUUGUUUCACAUCCACCUCCAUCAGUAGUAGACACGAUUGGUGGUAAAAUGUUGCAAAAAAUGGGUUGGUCAGAAGGUCGAGGACUGGGAAAGGAAGAGCAGGGAAGAAUAGCUCCCAUAGAAGCUGAACAAAGACCUAGUUUGGCGGGACUUGGACAGAAGCGGGGAAUAUACACACCCACACCUGGGUUAACAUACCGAGACACUGUAAAGAAACUUAUGAUUGCAAGAUACAAGGAAGUUGUUGGGCAGGAGGAAGGCAAUCCAUAGAUUUGGCGCUACCGAUGCGAUGCAACCAUUAAGAUGUGCCCAAGCCAUCUUCGAAUGCUUCGGGGGGCUGCCUACGUCCAUACAAAGAUGUGUUACAUUGUUUAUAGUUGUAUGCUGUUAAUUAUUUUCCCGCCCGAUUAUAGUUUUUGGUUUAAAUUAAAUACGUAAUGUUUGAAACUUAAAUAAUGCACAUUGUUUAUAAUUUAGCGAUUCUUGAGGAUCUAAUAAAUUGAACAAUUGAUAAGUUGGUAAAUAGAUGUUUAAGAUUUUUUUUAAGAAUUUCGUCAAGUGUUUAUUUAGAACAAAGUAGCGUUAAGAUGUUAUCUUCGUUUGGUUUUAAAUUAAAGUUAAAAGAAAAAUUAACGCACCUACACUGCAUUUACCGUAAAUAUUAAAAAUUCAUUCCAAUAAAAUAUUCGGAUUUUCACUAACUGUUUUUUAAUAAUUUUAUUUUUUUAAGGCGAAUUUGAAACGAAUAUAGCUUAACAUUAUAAAUUAUUGUAAAUAAUAAUUAAUAUUAGGAAUAUUAGUACCUAGAUUAUUUAAUAGAUAGAGUUUUUUAUUGUAAAGAAUGCGAUUAAUAUUAGAUUUAGAUACGCAAGUUGUACAAAUAUAUUUUUUAUUAAAAAGUUAUUAUUAAAUGAA